GAUGAACGCUGGCGGCGUGCCUAAUACAUGCAAGUCGAGCGAACGGACGAGAAGCUUGCUUCUCUGAUGUUAGCGGCGGACGGGUGAGUAACACGUGGAUAACCUACCUAUAAGACUGGGAUAACUUCGGGAAACCGUAGCUAAUACCGGAUAAUAUUUUGAACCGCAUGGUUCAAAAGUGAAAGACGGUUUUGCCGUCACUUAUAGAUGGAUCCGCGCCGCAUUAGCUAGUUGGUAAGGUAACGGCUUACCAAGGCAACGAUGCGUAGCCGACCUGAGAGGGUGAUCGGCCACACUGGAACUGAGACACGGUCCAGACUCCUACGGGAGGCAGCAGUAGGGAAUCUUCCGCAAUGGGCGAAAGCCUGACGGAGCAACGCCGCGUGAGUGAUGAAGGUCUUCGGAUCGUAAAACUCUGUUAUUAGGGAAGAACAUAUGUGUAAGUAACUAUGCACAUCUUGACGGUACCUAAUCAGAAAGCCACGGCUAACUACGUG
rnacentral:rRNA from 1 species